rnacentral:rRNA from 1 species
AUACGUAGGGGGCGAGCGUUGUCCGGAUUUACUGGGCGUAAAGGGUGAGUAGGCGGUUAUAUGUGUCAGAUGUAAAAGGCUAUGGCUUAACCAUAGUUAGCAUUUGAAACUGUAUGACUUGAGUGCAGGAGAGGUAAGUGGAAUUCCUAGUGUAGCGGGGAAAUGCGUAGAUAUUAGGAGGAACACCAGUGGCGAAGGCGACUUACUGGACUGCAACUGACGCUGAGGCGCGAAAGUGUGGGGAGCAAACAGGAUUAGAUACCAUGGUAGUCCACACUGUAAACGAUGAAUGCUAGGUGUAGGAGGUAUCGACCCCUUCUGUGCCGCAGUAAACACAGUAAGCAUUCCGCCUGGGGAGUACGGUCGCAAGAUUAAAACUCAAAUGAAUUGACGGGG